GAGAGUUUGAUUCUGGCUCAGGAUGAAUGCUGGCGGCGUGGAUAAGGCAUGCAAGUCGAACGGUGCAGGGUAGCAAUACUUUGCAUAGUGGCGAACGAGUUAGUAACACCUUGGUACAUACCUCGAAGUCGGGCACAACUAGUCGAAAGAUUAGCUAAUUCCCGAUAGUCCCGAAAGGGUAAAGUCGCAAGACGCUUUGAGAGUGGCCUAGGUCCUAUCAGCUUGUUGGCGGGGUAAAAGCCCACCAAGGCUAUGACGGGUAGGGGGCGUGAGAGCGCGACCCUCAACGACGAAACUGAGAUACGGUUCGUACACCUACGGGUGGCAGCAGUCGAGAAUAUUCGACAAUGGGCGAAAGCCUGAUCGAGCGACGCCGCGUGCGGGAAGAAGUCCUUAGGGAUGUAAACCGCUUUUGUUAGGGAAGAAUUUUGACGGUACCUGACGAAUAAGGGGUUGCUAACUCUGUGCCAGCAGCAGCGGUAAUACAGAGACCCCGAGCAUUAUCCGGAAUUACUGGGCGUAAAGAGCGAGUAGCCGGUUGUAUUAGUCUGAUGUUAAAUCCCAAGGCUUAACUUUGGGACCGCGUCGGAAACGGUACGACUAGAGCAGCUGAGAGGUAAGCGGAACGUGCAGUGUAGGGGUGAAAUCCAUUGAUAUUGCACGGAACACCAAAAGCGAAGGCAGCUUACUGGCAGUUUGCUGACGGUCAAUCGCGAAAGCGUGGGGAUCAAAAAGGAUUAGAUACCCUUGUAGUCCACGCCCUAAACUAUGCACAUUAGCUAUUGGGAGCAUCGACCCUUCCAGUGGCGUAGCCAACGCGUUAAAUGUGCCGCCUGGGAAGUACGAGCGCAAGCUUAAAACUCAAAGAAAUAGGCGGGAAUUCGCACAAGCAGUGGAUCAUGUGGUUCAAUUCGACUCUAACCGAGGAACCUCACCAAGGUUUGAAACUCAGCUGCAUACUCUGGAAACAGAGUAGCCUUCGAGGGUGCUGAGCAGGUGCUGCACGGCUGUCGUCAGCUCGUCACGUGAGUGGUCUCCUUAAGUGGAUUAACGAGCGCAACCCGCAUCGUCUGUUACAAGUGUCAGACGAAACUGCUUUCGUAAGAAAGAGGAAGGUGCGGACGACGUCAAGUCAGCGUGGCCCUCUGAUACCUUGGGCUACACACAUGAUACAAUGGAUGUUACAAUGGGUCGCCAAACCGCGAGGUGGAGCUAAUCCCAUCAAAGGCAUCCCCAGUUCGGAUAGGAGGCUGAAACUUGCCUCCUUGAAGCCGGAAUUGCUAGUAAUCGCAGAUCAGCAUGCUGCGGUGAAUACGUUCUCGAAUUUUGCACUCACUGCCCGUCAAGUCAAGGGAGUCGGUAAUACCUGAAGACCCAUAUUAUACAUGGGGACACGGUAGGAUCGAUGACAGGGACUAAGUCGUAACAAGGCAAGGGUAGCGGAAGCUGCUCUUGGAUCACCUCCUUUCUA
rnacentral:rRNA from 1 species